rnacentral:misc_RNA from 1 species
GCAAACUUGGUCAUUUAGAGGAAGUAAAAGUCGUAACAAGGUUUCCGUAGGUGAACCUGCGGAAGGAUCAUUAACGAGCCGUUGAAGCACAUCUUGUGUUCCAAUGUGGCCCAUCCUUGUCGAUUGUACCUGUUGCUUUGGUCGUGUGCUGGCUUGGUGAAUUCUAAAGCACACCAGGUCGAUCGCGACCAGAGGGCACUGCUUGUGUGCGGUGCGGCAUCCCAACCCGGCAGUACAGUUUUACGGUCUGAAACUGUUGUGAGAUAAUAAAUUAAAACUUUCAACAACGGAUCUCUUGGUUCCGGCAUCGAUGAAGAACGCAGC